AAAUUAAAAAAAAAAAAUUAAAAAACAAGAAAGAAAGAAAAUUCCUGGCUGGCUGGUUAAGACUUACAUUCUCAGGGAGGUUGAAUUUGCAAUUAGGUUAGGUAUUAAGCCUCCUUUUGGCCUAAGGGACACUAUUGCUUUCACACCCUUUAAGGUCACAUUCUCAGGUUGUGGGUAGACAUCUCUUUUUUGCGGGGGGGGGGGGGGCACAACCCAACAUUGUCCAAGAAGAUCAUUAUCAGCUCUACUUUAUGGGCAACUGAGGCACAGAGAGAUCAGGUUGCUGCUCUGAGGGGCUAGGACUUCAACCCUGGCUGUCGGGAGCCUGAAUCUAUUCGCUUCACCGCUCUGGAAUCCUCUCCAGUCUGCUGUGGGCCAAGCCCUUGCCGGAAGUGGGGACAUCGAGGCGAGCAAGGAUUGGAAGCAACAGGUGGACUGGGUCCCCUGUCUCACCUCCCCCGUCUCCUGCAUCUACCUCUGGGCCUCCAGUCUGAGUGGGAUGAGCCACGCUGUCGAACCUCCAGGGAAUGGUUGACGGGCUGGACUUUGAAAGGGGCCAAAGUUAUACACGCUGAGCCCAACCUGGGCCUGGCUGCCUUGCCCCACCCCUUAACCCCCUCCCCUCAUCUUGGGAGCCACAUUGCUGGGUCCCAAAGCCUCCCACCCCAGCUCCCCCAUUGGUCACCCUGAAUCCAACCUCCUGGUGACCCCAGGGGCUCCGGGGUCUCAAGGCACUGGCCUGGGCUCCUCAGCACCCCCAAGAUCGUUCUAGAAGAGAAGCAGGACCACGAGUGGACCUUGUCAAGGGGCGGCUGCGCACUGGGCAUGGCUGAGGCGAUGCUGCUGAACGCCACCUCACUGGGUUGGCCUGCCGUGUAGACGAACAACUCAGGCAAGCCUGCCGUGUAGACGAACAACUCAGGCACUUGGACAAUGAUGGGAAUCGCCGUCCACCCGUUGUGUUGAUUUAUGUCAGCAUAAAGCAAACACGUACAGCAGAUAGGGCAAAGGAUACCAAAUCCAA